UCGAGGACAUUGUGCUAUUGACUUCUGCUAAAACAGUAAAACGCAUCUCCUGUUCAGCACCAUUUAGUCCAUCAUUGUGGACAGGAGUGGUUACCGGUAGUACAGACUGAGGCAAGAACCUGUGUUUUGCUUGCCUGGUCAAUCAGACUGACUGCUACGCUCACAUUUCAUUUAAAUGGGUGUAGUGAAGCCCUGGGCUACUUCCUCACGCUGACAUCAGAGAGCCACCGGGAAGCCUGGACCAAUCUCUUCCUCACCAAGGUGGUGAAGAUCAGCAAUGACAGGUUCAAGGCCCAUGCAUCCAGAUACUACCCACUCCACUGUGAGAUCAUGCAGUUUGACCUGAUCCCAGAACUCCGGGCCGUGCUGCGUAAGUUCUUUCAACGCCUUCGACAUUUCACUGCUGCCGUCCCAGAGCGGAGCUAGGGCUUGCUGGAAGCUAGUGACAUCAUCACUAGUGGACCAGGACCAGCACAGGAUACAGGCUCCAAAGACAGUCCCUCUCUGGGGUGGGAGAGGGAAAGUUUGCAUUCCGAAUGGCACCCUAUUUCCUAUAUAGUGCACUAUACAGGGGAUAUGGUGCCAUUUGGAACACAGAUGCUGUUUAACACUCUGCCCCUGAGGGCCGCAAGGAAUUCUUAAAGCGGACUGGUUAGCUGAAAGUGACAGGGCCCGCAGAAAGGUACUGGAAGCUCCUCCAUGCUGCACACAGUGAUAGUGUAGUGAGUGGGGCCCACAUAAGCACUGAAUGACUGGCUGCAGUAUGGCAUAGAAAUAUCAUACUAAUGAUCAGAAUAACAAUGCAAUUAUUUUACUAAUUUCUUGCUGUCUGACCAACAUUAUGGAGGGUGUGUUUUUUGCCUAUCUCUUGGAAUUCUUUUAUGAAACUGAGGUGUGAAAAGGAUGAGCAACGUUAAUGAUUUUUUUUUUUACUGUAACAUUUAAAUUAAAACAAUUUGAAUUUGCAAACUAAU